rnacentral:rRNA from 1 species
UACAGAGGUCUCAAGCGUUGUUCGGAUUCAUUGGGCGUAAAGGGUGCGUAGGCGGCGCGGUAAGUCGGGUGUGAAAUCUCGGGGCUUAACUCCGAAACUGCAUUCGAUACUGCUGUGCUUGAGGACUGGAGAGGAGACUGGAAUUUACGGUGUAGCGGUGAAAUGCGUAGAUAUCGUAAGGAAGACCAGUGGCGAAGGCGGGUCUCUGGACAGUUCCUGACGCUGAGGCACGAAGGCCAGGGGAGCAAACGGGGAUUAGAACCGUA